CUACGGGGUGCUGCAGUGGGGAAUAUUGCACAAUGGGCGCAAGCCUGAUGCAGCCAUGCCGCGUGUAUGAAGAAGGCUUUCGGGUUGUAAAGUACUUUCAGCGGGGAGGAAGGGAGUAAAGUUAAUACCUUUGCUCAUUGACGUUACCCGCAGAAGAAGCACCGGCGAACUCCGUGCCAGCAGCCGCGGUAAUACGGAGGGUGCAAGCGUUAAUCGGAAUUACUGGGCGUAAAGCGCACGCAGGCGGUUUGUUAAGUCAGAUGUGAAAUCCCCGGGCUCAACCUGGGAACUGCAUCUGAUACUGGCAAGCUUGAGUCUCGUAGAGGGGGGUAGAACUCCAGGUGUAGCGGUGAAAUGCGUAGAGAUCUGGAGGAAUACCGGUGGCGAAGGCGGCCCCCUGGACGAAGACUGACGCUCAGGUGCGAAAGCGUGGGGAGCAAACAGGAUUAGAUACCCUCGUAGUC
rnacentral:rRNA from 1 species